AACGAACGCUGGCGGCGUGCCUAACGCAUGCAAGUCGAACGAGACCUGCGGGUCUUUGUGCGCACGGGUGGGUAACGCGUCGGAACCUUCACUUGGGUUCGGAAUACCUCCCCGCAGGGGAUGAUAAUACGGGAUGAUGUCUUCUGACCAAUGAAUUAUCGACUUUCGAUGGUCCCGUGUUGGAUCAGCUAGUUGGUAGGGUAAAAGCCUGCCAAGGCGACGAUCCAUAGCUGGUCUGAGAGGAGGAUCAGCCACACUGGGAAGGAGACACGACCGAGACUCCGGCGGGAGGCAGCAGUGGGGAAGAGUGGACACGGGGCGAAAGCCUGAGCUAUCAAAGCCGAGUGAGUUAUGAGUGCAGUAGGGUUGUAAAGCUCGUUUACCCGGGAUGAUAAGGCGAUAACCGGGAAAAUAAGCACGGCCAACUUCGUU
rnacentral:rRNA from 1 species